rnacentral:tRNA from 1 species
GGUCCGGAGGGGCCGAGGCCGGCCCGGAGGGUUGGAGGCCCCCGGACCGGACUGGACCGGAUCGGACCCGGCCUGGACCG